rnacentral:lncRNA from 1 species
AGGGUGCGUCACCGGAGCAGAUGCCCGGGGCGGUUGGAGGCUCCCGGGCUCCCGCUGACUCAUCAGAAAGGCCUGCCGCGCGGCCCGGGGGGCGGGGGAACGUGGGGGACCGCGGGGAGCUGCCGGGCAGGCGGCAGCCGAGGUCGUUUGAGGCGCGCAGAGCCGGAAAACCCCACGGAGACGGCUGGGCGGGGGCGGGGCGAUCGGCACUGACCAGGUCACCUGCAGCGCGGGCUGACGGCGGGCGACUGAAGGAGGGAGCAAGUCUCCCACCCCCAGCAGCCGGCGGCCGCUUCCGAAGUCUGCCCCUUCCACUGCGGAGCGGCGCCCCGCGGGCCCCCAGCCAGCGCGCCCGAGGCGCCCCCGCCCCGUGUCGCUCGCGCUGCGUUAUUGGGAGAAGGCGGUUCCUGAGCACCAGCACGGGCCUCGGUGACACCGGAGGUCGCUGGGGUCUUCCCCUUCCCCUUAAGACUCUGGGUCUGUCUGUGGGAAGAGCUUUCAUUCCCCACCCCACUCUAUGCCGACCCUCUCCGGGGGAGGCUCCACUGGCACUGUAGACACCACGUGCUGGGUAAAAAGGCCUGGUCCCAGCGCUUCCCUGUCACUGACUGCUAACCACAAGGCGCCGUGGCACUCAGGAAAUGCGGCAGGGGGGCUGGAGAACUAUCAGGAAGGGGUGUGGGCAGAGAAGAGGCUUCCACCCUGUCUUGGAACACGGACACAGUCCAUGGCAUUCAAAAGAGGUGGGAGGCUCCUCUGUGCACGUGCCUUCCGCCCCCGGGACAGGUGGAGGAGGGGAUUUGACUGGUCCUCACCCUCUGCAUUUAUAGUCUGGGCACACCUUGGGCAGUGCCGCAGGAGGGCGCUGUGGAGUACAGGCACAUGCAGAAGGUGUGGCGAGGGCUUCCUGGUGGAGCUGGCAGUAGGGCAGGGACCUUGAAAAGGAAUGAUUUGAACAGAUCGGAAAAGACAUUCCAGACAGAAACAAAUGCCUGAAACCCAAACCGAGAAGCAGGAAAGAGCAGACUGCGUUCUCGGAAUGGCAGGGAGUCCAGUUUGACUGGAAGACCUGAGGCUCAGAGGCGCAUCACGGCCCAGAUGCAGACCACAGAGGCAGGCACAGUGGCCCAGGAGGACCGAGGACCUGGAGUCACGGGGUUCCGCCCGCUGCCCCUGGGGAACCGAGUCAUGCCAGUUCCCAGACAGAUGAAUUCCUUCCAAGAAUUCCACAGUCCUGCUCAAUCCUAGCCGCCAAGCCUCCUGGCCUUGGAUGGCUGCUGUCUAAUGCAGAUCCUCUUUCAUCCAGAUUUCAAAUAUUUUUCCUAUUCUGUCCUUUGAUCACUAACGUUUAUGUUUAUCUACAUCAGCAUCCCUCAAUCCUGACGGCACUCUGAAAUUAUCUAGGGGUGCUUUAAAAAAGAAAAAUGUUGAUGCAUGGCCCUCCUCCAGGAAAUCUGAUUUUAUUGGUCUGGGGUGGGGCCCAGGCAUCAGCAGACUUUUAAUGAGCAGUUAGAGAGGAGAACCACUGAUGGAGAUGGUCACCAGGGAGUGUCCAGGUCAGACCGCCACAGAAGAGUGCAGCCUCCUGGCCUUCAGACCCAACUGGGACAAACCCUGAGAACAGCCUUGGCAGACCUCCAGGGGCAGCUGGACUCCCUGAGGCUGGAUGUUGCAGCCUCUCCCAGGCAUCCACUCUGCAGCUGAGGCCAAAGUUUCCAACGGGAAGGGAGGGAGAGUCUCCGAGUCUGGGCCUUGCCACUCCUCACUCAGCAUCUGACCAUCCCCACCUCCUGGAUCUACAGGGUUCAUAGAGGAGGACCCAGAAGAGGGAAAGUCAGGCUGAGGAACUUGGCCUCCCUGCUGCAAGGGAAAUGACAUCGGUUACCAAGGAGGUGACCAGCUAUCCUUUUCCAAGACUGAAAAGCAGAAAUACGGCCCUGAGGCUAGAGGGUCUAAGAGAACAAUAGGAAGAAUUUCCUGACAAAGGACAAUGUUGCCUAAAGGACUCAGGAAGCUCUGUGAAAACAGGAGACUCCCGAGCAGAGCACCAGACCCUUCUCCACCAGGCAGUGUUUUUCCCAUAUGACAGGUGAGAAAACUGAGGCUGAGAGACAUGUAAUAACUUGCUGAAGCAGCAACCAGCACACCAUAUAGCUGAAAUCUGUAGAUCAGCAGUUAAAAGUGGUAGGGCAAGUCCUCUCUGACUUUCAGCGCUAAGAGCCUAGGAUUCUGUGUUUUUCUGCUUAAGCCUGGGAAUCAGAGUCCUACAAAAGCCGCGCCUAAUCCUGGGGGUGUGGGCUUUAAACCCAGAGAGAAAGCAUGUUAUUGGAAUACUCCUGCACUUUUCUCCCUUUGAAUCCCACCACGGAAAGAAAAUUCUGUGACGUGUACCCAGUAUUUAUUGGAGGGUAUUUCCUAGCAAGAAAAUGAGGGCGAUUGACCAGGCACGGUGGCUCACGCCUGUAAUCCCAGCACUUUGGGAGGUCAAGGUGAGUGGAUCACAUGAGGUCAGGAGUUCGAGACCAGCCUGACCAACAUGGAGAAACCCCGUCUCUACUAAAAAUACAAAAUUAGCCGGGCGUGGGGUGGCGCAUGCCUGUAAUUCCAGCUACUCCUGAGGCUGUGGCAGCAGAAUCGCUUGAACCCGGGAGACAGAGGUUGCAGUGAGUUGAGAUCAAGCCAUCGCACUCCAGCCUGGGCAACAGAGUGAGACUCUGUCAAAAAAGAAAGUGUGGUACAUCUAUACUAAUGGAGUACUAUUUAGCCGUC